rnacentral:rRNA from 1 species
GACGAACGCUGGCGGCGUGCUUAACACAUGCAAGUCGAACGGAAAGGCCUGCAGCUUUCUGCGAGUACUCGAGUGGCGAACGGGUGAGUAACACGUGGCUGAUCUGCCUUGCACUUUGGGAUACGCUUGGGAAACUUGGUCUAAUACCCGAUAGGACAGCUGUUUAGUGUCAGUUUUGGAACGUUUUUUCGGUGCAAGAUGAGCUGGCGGCCUAUCAGCUUGUUGGUGGGGUAAUGGCCUACCAAGGCGUCGACGGGUAGCCGGCCUGAGAGGGUGUACGGGCACAAUGGGACUGAGAGACGGCCCAGACUCCUACGGGAGGCAGCAGUGGGGAAUAUUGCACAAUGGGCGGAAGCCUGAUGCAGAGACGCCGCGUGGGGGAUGAAGGCCUUCGGGUUGUAAACUGCUUUCGACAGGGACGAAGCUUUUGUGACGGUACCUGUAGAAGAAGCACCGGCUAACUACGUG